rnacentral:rRNA from 1 species
GAGCACGUAGGUGGGUUUGUAAGUCAGACGUGAAAGCCUUCUGUUCAACGGAAGAAUUGCAUCUGAAACUACAAACCUUGAGUGUAGGAGGGGAGAAUGGAACUUCUGGUGGAGCGGUGAAAUGCGUAGAUAUCAGAAGGAACGCCGGCGGCGAAAAGCGAUUCUCUGGCCUAUUACUGACACUCAGUGUGCGAAAGCAAGGGGAGCAAACGGGAUUAGAUACCCCGGUAGUCCUAGCCGUAAACGAUGGGCACUAAGUAGAGGGGUUUU